GGGCCCGUGGCCUAGUGGCUAUGGCACCACCCUGACGCGGUGGGGGUCCCGGGUUCGAAUCCCGGCGGGCCCACCA
rnacentral:tRNA from 1 species